AGAGCUUGAUCCUGACUCAGAAUCAACGCUGGCGGCGUGCCUAACACAUGCAAGUCGAACGAGAAAGUGGAGCAAUCCAUGAGUACAGUGGCGACCGGGUGAGUNACCGUGACACCCGCGCGGGUGUGGAAAAAAACCCCCCCGGGGAACCGCGCAACCAACCCCCCAUAUCCAAAAAAACACAACCGCCGGGGGGGCCGCGGAGGGGGGGGGGGCGCCAAGACAAAAAGUUUNGUGGCCCCCAGAGAGCCGACCCCACCAGCGCCCCCCCACCGGGCCCCCGGGCCCCGAGAAGGGCCCCCGGGGAGCCGCGGGAAGCGGGAACCCCGGGCCGCCCAGCCCCCAACGCCAGCGCCCGCCGGCGGGCGAGAGCGGGCACCAGGGGGGGGGGCCACCCGAC
rnacentral:rRNA from 1 species